UGAAGAAGGCCUUCGGGUUGUAAAGUACUUUCAGCAGUGAGGAAGGUGGUGUGUUUAAUAGACACAUCAUUUGACGUUAGCUGCAGAAGAAGCACCGGCUAACUCCGUGCCAGCAGCCGCGGUAAUACGGAGGGUGCGAGCGUUAAUCGGAAUUACUGGGCGUAAAGCGCAUGCAGGUGGAUGAUUAAGUCAGAUGUGAAAGCCCGGGGCUCAACCUCGGAAUAGCAUUUGAAACUGGUCAUCUAGAGUACUGUAGAGGGGGGUAGAAUUUCAGGUGUAGCGGUGAAAUGCGUAAAGAUCUGAAGGAAUACCGGUGGCGAAGGCGGCCCCCUGGACAGAUACUGACACUCAGAUGCGAAAGCGUGGGGAGCAAACAGGAUUAGAUACCCUGGUAGUCCACGCCGUAAACGAUGUCUACUUGGAGGUUGUGGCCUUGAGCCGUGGCUUUCGGAGCUAACGCGUUAAGUAGACCGCCUGGGGAGUACGGUCGCAAGAUUAAAACUCAAAUGAAUUGACGGGGGCCCGCACAAGCGGUGGAGCAUGUGGUUUAAUUCGAUGCAACGCGAAGAACCUUACCUACUCUUGACAUCCAGAGAAGCCAGUGGAGACACAGGUGUGCCUUCGGGAGCUCUGAGACAGGUGCUGCAUGGCUGUCGUCAGCUCGUGUUGUGAAAUGUUGGGUUAAGUCCCGCAACGAGCGCAACCCUUAUCCUUGUUUGCCAGCGAGUAAUGUCGGGAACUCCAGGGAGACUGCCGGU
rnacentral:rRNA from 1 species